AUCUGAGGAAAAUGGCAGAAGGAGGUGUAAAGACUGUACUGUGUCGGUAUUUCAUGAAUGGCGUAUGUCGGGAGGGUGAUCGGUGCCACUUUUCCCACAACAGAGACUCCUCCCGGCCCUCCAUGAUAUGCCGCUACUACCUGAAGGGAAACUGCUACUACGGCCGCAGCUGCAGGUAUGACCACACAUGGCCGGGUCACCAGAGCGGGUCGGAGUAUAGCCAGACAGAAGGUCCCCCCACACACCUUGGCGAGUCGUCCCAGCAGGGUCCAGCAUGCACCAACACGUCCCGGCACAAAGACACUCUCUCUCUGUCUGCACCACAUGUACAGUCUAGUCAGCCAAGCCUUCUGUCACAGAGCAAACCAAACAAGGACUUCACCAGCACCACCUCCCAAAGCAGUCAUGUCACCAGCAACACCAGCAGCAGUAGUAGUCUCAGGAAGAAGGGCAGCAGCGGCAGCCCCAGCAACAGCAACAGUGUGUCCUGCAUGGUGAGCCAAGGCCGCCAGCCAUCCCACUCUCUCCUGCAGGACAGCCGGGUGCCCUCCUGGGUGGACGCUCCUGAAUUUGUACCUAAGCUUGCCAAAGAAGAUAUUUUAAACUGCCAGCCUGACGUCAGCACCUCCCUGGCCCCGACAGACUACGUCUCCUAUGCCCAGGUGGUCGGGGCCGGCAACAAGGAGACGCCCUCUACCACCUCCUGUGGCUCAGAUGGGGAGUUGUGUCCCACCUACCUGAUGUCUGGCAAGUGUCAGCUGGGGGAGCAGUGUUCCUACAUCCAUGGCCUGAUGUGUGAGGUGUGCCAGCUGGCCUGCCUCCACCCCUUCGAUGAGGAACAGAGGAGGAUACACAAGGAGGAGUGCACCAAACUGAUGGAGGCGGAGAUGGAGCACUCAUUUGCCGUGGCUCGCUCCAAGGACAAGGUGUGUGGCAUCUGUAUGGACACAGUGAUGGAGAGACCCCUGGCAUCACAGAGGAGGUUUGGUAUCCUGCCCAACUGUGCCCACUGCUUCUGCCUUAACUGUAUACGCAAGUGGCGGCAGUCAAAACAGUUCGAGAACAAGAUUAUACGGUCUUGUCCCGAGUGCCGAACACAGAGUGACUUUGUCAUCCCCUCACGCUACUGGGUGGACGACAAGGACAAGGAGGAGAAGGACAAGCUCUUGCUCAGCUACCAGCAGGCCCUCAGUGACAAGCCAUGCAAGUAUUUCAAGCAGGGUGAGGGCCAGUGUCCCUUUGGCAACAAGUGCUUCUACCUUCAUGCACUUCCUGACGGCACCAAGAAGGAUGUGGGGCCGCCCAGGCGCCGGCGUCGCUUCAACGCCGAUGGGGAGCUGCAGCAGCACCUCGAUAACAUGGCACUGUGGGACUUUGUGCUGGAGCGAGAGCAUCGCCUGGAGCUGCUGCGAGGCUCCAUUCAGACCCUGCUGCUGGAGCUGGAGCUGGAGGACCUGGCAGAUGAGUUCUACUUUGCCGACGACUCUGUGUCUGAAGCAUCUGACCUGUAGUCCUCAUGCCGGAGGAAGGGCGACAGAGAAGAGAGUCGCCGUGGGGAGCAGUGUGCCAGAGGAAAAGUGUGGAGUCUUCUUGUUGAUCUCUGAUUUUUCAGUAUAAAAUCCCCUCCUGGUUACCCCAAGCACCGCCAUGCUGUGUGACCCUCCCGCCAGUUUCUGCACACGUAUGCCUAAGUGCUAUGCUGAUGAGAUAAUCUCUAGGUGAACAAUUACAAAUCACUAAAUAUG
rnacentral:misc_RNA from 1 species